ACGGGUGAGUAACGCGUAGGUAAUCUACCAAAGUGUCUGGAAUAACCGGCCGAAAGGCUGGCUAAUACUGGAUAGAGCGACGGAAUCCGUAAUUGGGUUUUUCGGGAAAGGGAGGCAGCAAUGCCCUUCGCACUUUGAUGAGCCUGCGUCUCAUUAGCUAGUUGGUGGGGUAACGGCCCACCAAGGCAUUGAUGAGUAGCUGGUCUGAGAGGAUGAUCAGCCACACUGGAACUGAAACACGGUCCAGACUCCUACGGGAGGCAGCAGUGGGGAAUCUUGCGCAAUGGACGAAAGUCUGACGCAGCCACGCCGCGUGAGUGAAGAAGGCCUUCGGGUUGUAAAGCUCUGUCGGAGGGGACGAACAUCCGAGGUGUGAACAGCAUCUCGGACUGACGGUACCCUCAAAGGAAGCACCGGCUAACUCUGUGCCAGCAGCCGCGGUAAUACAGAGGGUGCAAGCGUUGCUCGGAAUCAUUGGGCGUAAAGGGUAGGUAGGUGGUCUCAUUUGUCUGGGGUGAAAGCCCAGGGCUUAACCCUGGAAGUGCCCCGGAAACGGUGAGACUGGAGUCUUGGAGAGGGUCGUGGAA
rnacentral:rRNA from 1 species